UUGACCUCGAAUCAGGUAGGAAUACCCGCUGAACUUAAGCAUAUCAUAGGGGGGGAGGAAA
rnacentral:rRNA from 1 species